rnacentral:rRNA from 1 species
GCAGCCACUCAUUCAAAGAGUGCGUAAUAGCUCACUGGUCGAGUGAUCCUGCGCCGAAGAUUUCCGGGGCUAAAACUUACUACCGAAGCUACGGCAUCAGUAAUGAUGGGUAGGGGAGCUUCCCAUACGGGUUGAAGCAUGACCGUAAGGACAUGUGGACAGUAUGGGAGUGAGAAUGUUGGCAUGAGUAGCGAGAUGUGGGUGAGAAUCCCACAGGCCGUAAACCCAAGGUUUCCAGGGGAAGGUUCGUCCGCCCUGGGUUAGUCGGGACCUAAGCUGAGGCCGAAAGGCGUAGGUGAUGGACAACAGGUUGAUAUUCCUGUACUACCGAUAACCAUUUGAGAGAAGGGAUGACACAGUAGGAUAAGCUAAGCACACUGUUGGUUAUGUGUGCCCAAGCAUUGAGGCAGUCAAAGCAGGCAAAUCCGCUUUGAUAAUGCUGGGAUGUGAUGGGGAGCGAAAUUUAGUAGCGAAGUAGCUGAUUUCACACUGUCAAGAAAAGUCUCUAUCGAGGUUAAAGGUACCCGUACCGCAAACCGACACAGGUGGGUGAGGAGAGUAUCCUAAGGCCAGCGAGAGAACUGUUGUUAAGGAACUCGGCAAAAUGACCCCGUAACUUAGGGAUAAGGGGUGCCACCAUCCGGUGGCCGCAGAGAAUAGGCUCAAGCGACUGUUUACCAAAAACAUAGGUUUCUGCUAAGUCGCAAGACGAUGUAUAGGAGCUGACGCCUGCCCGGUGCUGGAAGGUUAAGGGGAUCUGUUAGAGCAAUCGAAGCAGUGAACUUAAGCC